GAUGAACGCUGGCGGCGUGCCUAAUACAUGCAAGUCGAGCGAAUGGAUUAAGAGCUUGCUCUUAUGAAGUUAGCGGCGGACGGGUGAGUAACACGUGGGUAACCUGCCCAUAAGACUGGGAUAACUCCGGGAAACCGGGGCUAAUACCGGAUAAUAUUUUGAACUGCAUGGUUCAAAAUUGAAAGGCGGCUUCGGCUGUCACUUAUGGAUGGACCCGCGUCGCAUUAGCUAGUUGGUGAGGUAACGGCUCACCAAGGCAACGAUGCGUAGCCGACCUGAGAGGGUGAUCGGCCACACUGGGACUGGAACGCGGCCCAGACUCCUACGGGAGGCAUCAGUAGGGAAUCUUCCGCAAUGGACGAAAAUCUGAAGGAGCAACGCCGCGUGAGUGAUGAAGGCUUUCGGGUCGUAAAACUCUGUUGUUAGGGAAGAACAAGUGCUAGUUGAAUAAGCUGACACCUUGACGGUACCUAACCAGAAAGCCACGGCUAACUACGUGCCAGCAGCCGCAGUAA
rnacentral:rRNA from 1 species